GACGAACGCUGGCGGCGUGCUUAACACAUGCAAGUCGAGCGAGAACCAGGCCUUCGGGCCUGGGGACAGCGGCGAACGGGUGAGGAAAACGUGGGUAAUCAACCCUCGGUACUGGGAUAGCCCGGGGAAACCCGGAUUAAUACCGGAUGGCCCUACGGAUCUUCGGUUCUGAAUGAAAAGGUAGCUUCGGCCACCGACCGAGGCCGAGCCCGCGGCGGGUUAGCUUGUUGGUGGGGUAACGGCCUACCAAGGCGGCGAUCCGUAGCUGGUCUGAGAGGACGAUCAGCCACACUGGGACUGAGACACGGCCCAGACUCCUACGGGAGGCAGCAGUGGGGAAUCUUGCGCUAAUGCGGGAAACCGUGACGCAGCGACGCCGCGUGAGGGAAGAAGGCCUUCGGGUUGUAAACCUCUUUCAGGAGGGACGAAGCUACUCGGGUUAAUAGCCUAGAGGGUGACGGUACCUCCAGAAGAAGCCCCGGCUAACUACGUGCCAGCCGCCGCAGUAAAAC
rnacentral:rRNA from 1 species